rnacentral:rRNA from 1 species
AAAUUGAAGAGUUUGAUCAUGGCUCAGAUUGAACGCUGGCGGCAGGCCUAACACAUGCAAGUCGAGCGGUAGCAGGGAGAAAGCUUGCUUUCUCCGCUGACGAGCGGCGGACGGGUGAGUAAUGUCUGGGGAUCUGCCUGAUGGAGGGGGAUAACUACUGGAAACGGUAGCUAAUACCGCAUAACGUCGCAAGACCAAAGUGGGGGACCUUCGGGCCUCAUGCCAUCAGAUGAACCCAGAUGGGAUUAGCUAGUAGGUGAGGUAAUGGCUCACCUAGGCGACGAUCCCUAGCUGGUCUGAGAGGAUGACCAGCCACACUGGAACUGAGACACGGUCCAGACUCCUACGGGAGGCAGCAGUGGGGAAUAUUGCACAAUGGGCGCAAGCCUGAUGCAGCCAUGCCGCGUGUAUGAAGAAGGCCUUCGGGUUGUAAAGUACUUUCAGUAGGGAGGAAGGUGUGCGUGUUAAUAGCACGUGCAAUUGACGUUACCUACAGAAGAAGCACCGGCUAACUCCGUGCCAGCAGCCGCGGUAAUACGGAGGGAGCAAGCGUUAAUCGGAAUUACUGGGCGUAAAGCGCACGCAGGCGGUUUGUUAAGUUGGAUGUGAAAUCCCCGGGCUUAACCUGGGAACUGCAUCCAAGACUGGCAAGCUAGAGUCUCGUAGAGGGAGGUAGAAUUCCAGGUGUAGCGGUGAAAUGCGUAGAGAUCUGGAGGAAUACCGGUGGCGAAGGCGGCCUCCUGGACGAAGACUGACGCUCAGGUGCGAAAGCGUGGGGAGCAAACAGGAUUAGAUACCCUGGUAGUCCACGCUGUAAACGAUGUCGAUUUGGAGGUUGUGCCCUUGAGGCGUGGCUUCCGAAGCUAACGCGUUAAAUCGACCGCCUGGGGAGUACGGCCGCAAGGUUAAAACUCAAAUGAAUUGACGGGGGCCCGCACAAGCGGUGGAGCAUGUGGUUUAAUUCGAUGCAACGCGAAGAACCUUACCUACUCUUGACAUCCAGCGAAUCCUGUAGAGAUACGGGAGUGCCUUCGGGAACGCUGAG